rnacentral:rRNA from 1 species
ACGCGGGGUGAAACCGUGGUUUCCAUGGAAUUAACGAAAGCCCUGGCUUUAUUUUAAUCUAGUAGGUAUACCUUGGUAUACCGCUUAAGCAAUAACUGUUAUAUGCAGAGCUUGCUGAGUUUUUUUAUAAAGCAUUUCUUUCCGGACAUUGGAAAGAAAAAAGGGGUCAAAGACAAGUCAUCAUGGCCUUGAUGUUAUGGGCUAUAGACGUGCCACACAUGCCUAAACAAAGAGAUGCGAAAAUGUGAAUUUGAGCUAAUCUCUCAAAAUAGGAUAUAAUUAAAGGAUUGUAGUCUGAAAUUCGACUAUAUGAAUAAGUAAUUACUAGUAAUCGUGAAUCACCACGUCACGGUGAAUUUUUCUUGGAUUGGU